AGUGGCGGACGGGUGAGUAACGCGUGAGAAUCUGCCUUCAGGAUGGGGACAACAGUUGGAAACGACUGCUAAUACCCAAUAUGCCUAUGGGUGAAACUUUUUUGGCCUGAAGAUGAGCUCGCGUCUGAUUAGCUAGUUGGUGGUGUAAGAGACUACCAAGGCGACGAUCAGUAGCUGGUCUGAGAGGAUGAGCAGCCACACUGGGACUGAGACACGGCCCAGACUCCUACGGGAGGCAGCAGUGGGGAAUUUUCCGCAAUGGGCGAAAGCCUGACGGAGCAAUACCGCGUGAGGGAGGAAGGUUUUUGGAUUGUAAACCUCUUUUCUCAGGGAAGAAUUUUGACGGUACCUGAGGAAUAAGCACCGGCUAACUCCGUGCCAGCAGCCGCGGUAAUACGGAGGGUGCAAGCGU
rnacentral:rRNA from 1 species